UACAGAGGUCUCAAGCGUUGUUCGGAUUCAUUGGGCGUAAAGGGUGCGUAGGCGGCGCGGUAAGUCGGGUGUGAAAUCUCGGAGCUUAACUCCGAAACUGCAUUCGAUACUGCCGUGCUUGAGGACUGGAGAGGAGACUGGAAUUUACGGUGUAGCGGUGAAAUGCGUAGAUAUCGUAAGGAAGACCAGUGGCGAAGGCGGCUUACUGGUCCGGUUCUGACGCUGAGGCGCGAAAGCGUGGGGAGCAAACAGG
rnacentral:rRNA from 1 species